GCUGCUAAUAAAGUUACACAAUUACACAGUACAUUCACGAUGCCACAGUUUUUGUCUUGGUCGGAUCAUUUUAUGUGGUUGUAUUUAUCCGCGAUACCUUAAAGGCCGCUCCGUGUCUGACAACUGAUCUGUGGCGCAAAAAGGUUGGGGACCGCUGCUGUACAGCAUGGUGGUUAAUAGAACCGUACUCAUAUGAAUAUGAUGUGUAUGUGACAGGUGAGACCUGGAGACUUGGGACCGCCCCUGGUGGGCGGAGCUGGUCUUCGCUCCUUUCAUAAGCGCAGGUGUGGGCAAUUGGGUAUUCCUUUGCAAACCUGAAGCUGCGAGUGCUUGGUCCGAGUUUGGCAAGUUGGUGUUUCUUAACUAUGAAAGUCUGAUAUGCGUCCUCCCCUAAACUUCUGUUAGAACGGUAGGUUACACAAAAAUGUACCACUUGAGCUCUGGCUGUUGGCAGAGGUUUACAGUUAUUUGCACCCUUGUAGGUGGGAAACAUUGCUCCCGUGAGAACGGUAUAGUGGACUUCAUCGCCACUGACCCACAUUUAUUAGGGUGUGACACGAACUUGUGGACAGAGUACCGAGCUGCUGCUUUGCCAGGUGGAUUUCUGGCUGCGGGCAAAGGACCCGACACAUCAGUGUGUUUUAAUUUGUUUUAAACUGGUGUAAGCCGACAGACUGACUGCUGCGGCUGUCGAUGGUUUUGUUUUUUUGUUUUACUUUUUCUGUAUCAGUAGGCACCACAGAUAUUGAUUCGCAGGCGGUGAAGGCGCUGCAGGGAAAACAAAUCCUUUUUUUGUCUCCCCGCUCUUGCAUGCACAGCGGGGGGCCCGAGUGAAGACGGCACCGAAGAUUUGCCUUUUUUUUGUAUAGUGUUUUACCCAUUUGGGGUCAUGUGUGAGUUGCCGUCCAUUUUUAACCUGUGUGCUAUGUCGAUUUGUUUUUAAACUGUUCCCCGCAGCGCUUGUCCUGCCUCACGGGCAAUCGUACAGUUUUAUAGUUUUUUUAAUAAGGUAACGUUUUUAAUUGUUUUUAGGUGCUGCUGUUACACUGUUUCUUUUAUUUUGUAUUAAAAAUUAAACUCUUUUAAACUGACUGUGCGCCUACGGCUCUGUCCUAUUUUAAAUAGGUACCUACCACGGGUCACAAACUGGCGUUGUCGACAGGAUGAGCCUCUAGGUGUGCACAGCGAUUAGUCAGUUGGUUUGUGUAAAAUUUUUAUUUUUAUGGGUGUGUGUUUUAAACUGUUUUAUAUUUGUAUUUAUUUAUUUAUUUUUGGCAAAGCAGCAGCUGGUAAAUCCUGGUGGUAACAAAGUGUAAUCUGCAUUUAAACACAGUAGGCACUUACUGUUGAGGGUUUUUAUUUUUUUAUUAUGGAGUCCCAAUCAGGCAUUUCUAGCCCCUGUAGACCUCAUGACUCUACCCCUAUGGAGGGCUCUCUCCAAGAGAGGCUGGUUUAUAUCCCUAGAGAGAGGUCGUGCCCCCUGUUUAGUGGAACUGGGGAAAUUAGUGUCCAAAGUUGGGUGGAGGAAAUAAAAUCUGUAAUGCGCACUCGUAGACUUGCCCCUGUUGAUAGAGCCCAUUAUGUCUAUGAUCAUUUGACUGGUGAUGCUCGUGAGGAAAUAAAAUAUAGGUCCCAGCAAGUAAGAGAAGGUCCAGACUGCAUUUUUGAUAUUCUCCUUAGCCAGUAUGGUUGCCCCAUGUCCUUUAUUGCUGUUAAGGAAGCUUUUUAUGCAAGAAGGCAGCAAGAAGUAGAGUCACUGAGGGAAUUCUCCCAUGCAUUGUUUUCUCUCAUGGACAAAAUGAUCCAAAGUUUUCCAGACAGGCGAAUUCCUGAGGCUGCUAGACUGCUUUCUGAUCAGUUUGUAGAGGGUGUCCGGGAUGGAAAUUUGAGCCGCGAGCUUAAAAGGAUUGUUCGCGAACAUCCAGAUUAUGACCUCCAUACUUUAAGAGAUGAAGGCCUCAGGUGGGAGCGGGAAGGCAGAGUAGGAGUAGAACCCGGCCGGUUCAGGACUUAUUCUGUCCCAGCAGUCUACAGCAUUCAGCAUACAGGACAAACAAAGGGGCCAAGGGAUACUAUUGGGUCAGAAUUAGCAGAGGUUAAGGAAAUGUUAAAACGGCAGCAGGCCCAGAUUGAUCAGCUUACACAUGAGUUGAGAGUUGCCCAUACAUCA
ensembl:lncRNA